UACUAUUAGGAGGGGAAAAAAACACACAAAGAAAAACCUGGCUGACACAGAAGGAAGGCAAAUUUCAUUAUCUCCCAUAAUUUCUGUUUCAGAACUGAAGAAGCGCUUGACUAACUGGAAGCUUAUUUGGUUUUCCUAAUUAUAUCAGCUAUUUGGAUCACAUUCAGAAAGUUAUCAAAUCCAGACUGUUUGAAAAGUGUGUUGGAGAGAUUUUUUAUUGGAAACUUCCUGUCAGCCAUUCCUUCCUACUUGGAAAAAGAAAGGAUACUUCGGGUGUGUUGUCCCUGCUGGGCAUGCUGGAGCAAAGCAUUUCUGUUUAUUUAUCCUCUUUACUGGCUUUCUAAAUAAAUACGAGUUGUCAUCUUCAUGAUUGCCAUCAGUCUACAUCAUAAGCUACAAAAUCAGGUGUGGAGUAUUAGUACCCCUGCCUUUUUUCUUCUGACUUUAGCCCAACUGCUGCAUGAUCUGGUGAUUCCCAGAAAGCUCUGGUUUUGGACUCAAAUGAAUAGGUAAGGAAAUCUAUUCUUUUUUAGUAGUUUUCUUUGGUCUGGGAUUGUGCGAAGAAAAUCUCUAAAUUC
rnacentral:lncRNA from 1 species